UUACACUCGGCUGAGUCCUGGUCAGAAAUUUGAUCAUGCUGAGAACGAAGAACAGCAGACCGCGUGUUCCCGCCAGAUACUUUUCACAGUAGCCGUCGGCAAAUGCGUCAUAGAGUGUCUCCCUUCUUUGCUCUAUUUCACUCUACUAUGGCUCUCUCUCUGCGUUGUAAUUUUAGCCAAAAACUUAGCUGGCUGUUAGCCGACUGUCAGAGCACCGUUUGACAGGCGGUUGUCACACAAAAUCUGUGUAAAUUGUGCCUCUAAUUACAAUUGACAAUGUUUUUACAAUAAAUUGCGUGCCAGUUUGCGGCCUGUCUCCACCUCUUUGUGUGCCUCUGGCUCUAUGGCUCUAUGGCUAUAUGGCUCUCUGGCUCUGUGACUCUGGCUAUUUGGGUUAAACAAUCACAAUUUUAUGCUUAAAUCAACUUGGAGGCGUUCGUGUGUUACAAAUUUGUCUAAACGAAAGCGACAAACGAUCCGAAUACGUAUCCCGCAAAAGGCAACCCAUAGACACACAACACACAUCAGAACCUAAGCUGAUUUGACAAGCACGCUUAUGGCUUUUCAUAUUUUUGUAUAUUUUGUUUGUUGUAUGCCCAAGAAUUAUGGAAUAACUUUGGUUUUAUACGAACUGAAGAACAGCUUUUGCGUGCAUCCAUAAAGUGGAAGCCAUUGAUUGAUUUUUGAUCCUGAUUUAAUCCUUAUAUUUCUCCACUUCUAUGUAUAGCUAUUCUUUAAGAUAUUUUCAUAGGAAUCGCAACAUCUUAGCAACAUUCCAAGCAUUCCUCUAAAACCCAAAAAUCAUCUUUGGUUAGAGCAUUCCGCAAUCAUCAUUCUGAUUUUAUAUAAAACACAUUUCUGGUUCUGCUGCCCGACUGUCUCUGCUCUGUUCUUUUUUUGGCUGUUUAACAUUUUUGCCCAUAUGAAUAAUGAUUUCAUUUUUCCCAUCAGCUAAUUUAUACAAGUGGGGCAAUGCGCGAGGGGCCCUUGGUGCGAUUUAGAGGAUUAGUCAGGCCUUACUUUUCCAUAAUUCUCGAAAAGCAGAGACCCCAGGUCUGAGUCCGAGUCGGAGUUGAAGUCAGAGUCCCAGUCCCAGUCCAAGCUGUGGCCUCUACCUGUGCCCUGGCCUGGCUCGAGGUUGCGUCCGUGUGCAGAUAUAAAAAAUAUGCAAGAUGACAGUUUAAUUUUAUGUCUGUCUCUAUCUGCAAUCUUGUGCCUGCCGUCUCUUUCGGGGAUCCGAUGGAAUGCGAAAUGGAGUCUGGUACGUGGCUACUUUUGGCUCCUUUCGGUGAGGAAUUUAAUUAAUUUGAGCGCGACUUCUAAUGACAAAGUGGGCGUGACCAAGGCUUAGGAAUUGGAACGCGAAACUUGCCAAAAAAA